rnacentral:rRNA from 1 species
UACAGAGGGUGCGAGCGUUAAUCGGAAUUAUUGGGCGUAAAGGGAGCGUAGGCGGAUAAUCAAGUGGUAGGUGAAAGACCUGGGCUUAACCUGGGGAGGUCCUAUCAGACUGAUUGUCUAGAAUUCGGCAGAGGAAGGUGGAAUUUCUGGUGUAGCGGUGAAAUGCGUAGAUAUCAGGAAGAACAUCAAUGGCGAAGGCAGCCUUCUGGGCCGAUAUUGACGCUGAGGCUCGAAAGCGUGGGGAGCGAACAGG